rnacentral:rRNA from 1 species
AUGUUUGGUUUAAUAUUUUUGUUUAUCAUGCAAUACUUAUCCCGCAGCCAUCUAAUAUGCAAAUUUGAUAAUAGAAGACGACCUCAUUUAUGUACAGAAAAAAUGCAUAUUCUUGGACUGGGUUUUCUUCCGCACUCUCUUGGAUCAGGUUACAAAUACAUCAUACUGACUGGGUUUUAUUCAUUCAGUCAUAUAGAUUCGAAUACUAUACUGUUAAACCAAUAUGAUGGAGGGCUCCAGUUUGAUGCACUGUUAAAAUUCAUGUUGAAGUUACAGGAGGUAGAUCUAUUAUGGUUUGCACAAAAAUGA